CGUACGUCAGGAGAGUUUUACGGUAGUCCCUGGCGUCAGGAUGAACGCUGGCGGCGUGCCUAACACAUGCAAGUCGAACGGAUCUGUAUUGAAACCUAGUGAUAUACAGGUUAGUGGCGGACGGGUGAGUAACGCGUGGAUAACCUGCCGUAUACCGGGGGAGUAACACUUAGAAAUAGGUGCUAAUACCGCAUGAGCGCACAGCUCCGCAUGGAGCGGUGUGAAAAACUCCGGUGGUAUACGAUGGAUCCGCGUCUGAUUAGCCAGUUGGCGGGGGUAACGGCCCACCAAAGCGACGAUCAGUAGCCGGCCUGAGAGGGUGAACGGCCACAUUGGGACUGAGACACGGCCCAGACUCCUACGGGAGGCAGCAGUGGGGAAUAUUGCACAAUGGGGGAAACCCUGAUGCAGCGACGCCGCGUGAGUGAAGAAGUAUCUCGGUAUGUAAAGCUCUAUCAGCAGGAAAGAUAAUGACGGUACCUGACUAAGAAACCCCGGCUAACUACGUG
rnacentral:rRNA from 1 species